GUUCAAACAAUUACACAGAACUUUUAAACUCUGUUCAAAAAUAGUCAGAAUAUAAUUUAGCUUAAUUUUGGCACAUGAUUGUUAGUCAAUGGAGUAUAUUUUAAGAUAAGUUGGUUUUUUUGAACCUUACUUACCAAAGGCUACCACUUCCUUACAUUACACAUUGCAUCAAACAUUUUCUCUCCCAUUCCAUUUUUAAAAGGAAUGUCUCUUCAUGGUAAUGUUAAAAAUUGUACAGCCCUAAUGGAUUAUAUUCUCUCUGAAUUUAGGUCUUUUGUUAUUAUUGGAGUUGCAACUAUUUGCAUCUUCAUCAGGAUCCCUCAGCCUGGAGUCUCCUAGGAAUUAGGAACCUCUUAAGUGAGGUGUGAAAGAUCUUUCAUGGAACAGGUCAUAGAAGAAUAAUCUUGAGCAGUUUGUAAUUCACUUGCAGCAAUUCACUAAAUAUUCUCAGUAAUGAAGACCAAAAGGAAAGCUGGGAAAGAGAGAAGAUGUCCAAGAAUCUGCUGAUACAGGUGUUUAAUACACUGGUACCAAAAUAAAAUCCUUUUGUCACUCUC